rnacentral:rRNA from 1 species
GACGAACGCUGGCGGCGUGCUUAACACAUGCAAGUCGAACGGAAAGGCCCUGCUUUUGUGGGGUGCUCGAGUGGCGAACGGGUGAGUAACACGUGAGUAACCUGCCCUUGACUUUGGGAUAACUUCAGGAAACUGGGGCUAAUACCGGAUAGGAGCUCCUGCUGCAUGGUGGGGGUUCGAAAGUUUCGGCGGUUGGGGAUGGACUCGCGGCUUAUCAGCUUGUUGGUGGGGUAGUGGCUUACCAAGGCUUUGACGGGUAGCCGGCCUGAGAGGGUGACCGGCCACAUUGGGACUGAGAUACGGCCCAGACUCCUACGGGAGGCAGCAGUGGGGAAUAUUGCACAAUGGGCGGAAGCCUGAUGCAGCAACGCCGCGUGCGGGAUGACGGCCUUCGGGUUGUAAACCGCUUUCGCCUGUGACGAAGCGUGAGUGACGGUAAUGGGUAAAGAAGCACCGGCUAACUACGUGCCAGCAGCCGCGGUGAUACGUAGGGUGCGAGCGUUGUCCGGAUUUAUUGGGCGUAAAGGGCUCGUAGGUGGUUGAUCGCGUCGGAAGUGUAAUCUUGGGGCUUAACCCUGAGCGUGCUUUCGAUACGGGCUGACUUGAGGAAGGUAGGGGAGAAUGGAAUUCCUGGUGGAGCGGUGGAAUGCGCAGAUAUCAGGAGGAACACCAGUGGCGAAGGCGGUUCUCUGGGCCUUUCCUGACGCUGAGGAGCGAAAGCGUGGGGAGCGAACAGGCUUAGAUACCCUGGUAGUCCACGCUGUAAACGGUGGGUACUAGGUGUGGGGUCCAUUCCACGGGUUCCGUGCCGUAGCUAACGCUUUAAGUACCCCGCCUGGGGAGUACGGCCGCAAGGCUAAAACUCAAAGGAAUUGACGGGGCCCCGCACAAGCGGCGGAGCAUGCGGAUUAAUUCGAUGCAACGCGUAGAACCUUACCUGGGUUUGACAUGGAUCGGGAGUGCUCAGAGAUGGGUGUGCCUCUUUUGGGGUCGGUUCACAGGUGGUGCAUGGCUGUCGUCAGCUCGUGUCGUGAGAUGUUGGGUUAAGUCCCGCAACGAGCGCAACCCUUGUUCACUGUUGCCAGCACGUUAUGGUGGGGACUCAGUGGAGACCGCCUGGGUCAACUCGGAGGAAGGUGGGGAUGACGUCAAGUCAUCAUGCCCCUUAUGUCCAGGGCUUCACGCAUGCUACAAUGGCUGGUACAGAGAGUGGCGAGCCUGUGAGGGUGAGCGAAUCUCGGAAAGCCGGUCUCAGUUCGGAUUGGGGUCUGCAACUCGACCUCAUGAAGUCGGAGUCGCUAGUAAUCGCAGAUCAGCAACGCUGCGGUGAAUACGUUCCCGGG